UGAAUUUUUGGAUGUUACAAAAAAAAUUUAUUUUAAGUCAACCAAUACCAUCAAUUAUUCAUUUCAAAAACAUUCAAGUGUGACAAUGUAGAAAAUAGUUAUCAUAGUACAAUCAAAUCAUAGAAUGUAGAACACUGGUUAAUGUUGUACGAUCAUGUCGGACCCUUCCCCUUUGAACCAGAGGUACCUGGAAAACAUUUUAAACAUAUACCGUAAGCACAAAGCUUAGUGAGUUUCUCAAAAUAUCACAUACCAUACAUACAUAUCAGCACAAGGCUAUAAUGGGUCUAUUUCACCAUUGAGUCCCUUCCGACUCAAUCAGUGUUUUUCAAACGAACGAGUCUAUUUCACCCUAGAGUCCCUUCCGACUGAAUCAAUAUUUUUCAAACGAAUGAGUCUAUUUCACCCCACAUACAUAUAACAUUCAGGAACACAAGAGUCACAAAGACAUCAAGCAUAUACGACACCUAGUGUCCUACAAUAUAAUGAGAAGACUUACCUCAAUCGAUAACAGAUAACACUCACACCUGAGCUGCUGGUCCAUAACAUACUUUGUCUCUAGGGUAACAUACCAUUUUACCCUUUCCAAGCUAGUCUCACCAAACAUGUCCCAAAACUGGUGGGCCGCAUCAGACUGUCUUUACGUGCCGUGCAGUGCGCGCGCCUGCGUGCGAAUUUUCAGAUUCUUCCAAAAAUCAUAUCUUCUUCAUAUGAGCUCUGUUUUUUACGUUCUUUAUAUCCAUGCAUAGCUAUCAAUUAGAUCUACAAGUUUCAUUUAGACUCCGUCGACUAAUUUUGAAUUUAUUUUUAAAGCUAUAUUUUUAACAGUCUUUGACUGUUAAAGCCCGUAUAAAAAUCAUAACUCUCUCAUAUGAAUUUCGUUCUCGACUGUCUUUAUAUCGACAAAAUCAUAUGGACGAGAUUUUCAACUCUCGUUUAGAUUGUUUUUCCUAACAAUCGACCAAUCUCUAUUGCAUUUUUGUGUCAUACACUGCUACGCUGUAACUUCUAAAAAUCAUAACUUCCUCUUAUGAAGUCAGAUUUUGACGGUCUAUAUACGCACGCUCUUAGUUUUGCGAUUACUAUGACUUUCGUCAAGACUAUUUAUCCUAAAUAUUCCUCUAGCAAGAAUGUUUAUUUACGUGAUUAGUCGAUCAUACUAUAAGGCAAAAAUGGGGUGUUAUAAGAGGACCAUAAAGUUGCCAACUUUAAUCCAUCCUUACACUCAAAUCAAAACCGUGACCCAAAAGGAACUUAAACAACUUAGAUAUAAGAGAAUAAACAAUAAAGGUGGAAGCUUAAAUCCUUACAAAUGGUCAAGAAGUUGAUAUCAAAGAUGAGAAGAUGUUGUUUGAUUGAUCCUUGCACCAAUUCUCCUUCUACUUCCUUCAAAUAGCACAAAAACCACCAAAAUUGAGCCAAAACACCAAGAGGGAUUAGGGUUAGGGUUUUUCUGAGGUUUGAGGGAGAUGGAGGCUGAUAAUGAACCCUAGAUUCGAGUUAAUGGAGUUUAAAUAUGGAGGAAACCUAAAAGAUCAUGGGCUUGGGUUACAGCCACCCUCACGCUGUGACCACAUACGUGUCAUGUCCCGAUCACUCUUCAGAUGCACGAUCUUCACUUGGCUUGUCAUGUCGAGAUACUCGGUUUUCCAAAAAACCAUGCUUUUGACUCCAUAAUGCCCAAAACUGAACCAUUUUGGAAAAAAUGUGUUACACUCCCACUUAAGAAAAAAUCCAAUCCUUGCAAAAAAAAUUUGAAAACUUCUUGAAAGGUGUUAUUUCAACAACAUGCAACACUUCCACAAAAGGUUGUCUCAAGACCUGCACCUUAUGGAAUUUGAUGCAAUACUUUUCCAAAAACAACACUUUUAGUAACACUUUCAGAAAAAUGUUGCAUUUGCACCUGCUAUUAAAAAAAAUAGCAAAAACAACCCUUUUCCAUCUUCAAAAUUGGUUCCAUCUUCAUUUCUUGUUACAUUGUUGUACAAAAUAAAUUAUUUCUAAAACUAAUCUAUAACCUAUAACUUACAAAAAUAAAUAAAAUGAAAACUAAUAUAUUUAAUUAUUAAAUACCAUAUGAAUAAAUUAAAAUUAGAACCGUUUAAACAAAUCAACACCAACAACACCACAAGGGUCGAUGACUAGUUUAUGUACAUCAUAUAUAUAUAUAUAUAUAUAUAUAUAUAACAACUAUUUGUUUUUCUAAAACAAUUAUUGUAAUAAAAAUGCAUGUAAACUUUUAUCACCAAAAAAUAACAAUUAUAAAGUUGUUAAAAAUAUAUGUAUGAAUUUUUCUUACAAAGAGAAAACAAUCAAUGUUUUCAAAAGAACAAAGAUUUUAUCAACUUAACAAAUAAUCUAACCAAGUUCGUAAAAAUAACUCUGAUACCAAUUGUUGGGUUUUUAUUCAAAAACAGUUCUAAAUAAAUACUCAAAACUACGAGUUUAGCAACAGAAGAAAUUUUUUGUUUGAAUAAACUAAAACAAUUUUAACUCACCAAUGAUCAUUUUCCUAGAACUUAGAAAGAUUAAAACAACCAUAUAAAGUUAAGUGUUACAGCCUUUGAAGACUUUGACUUUGAUUCUCAUGUGAGACUGAAAGUUGAUGAAGUAUGGCAUUAAGCUCUAAAAUAAGCUAUUUAUAAUGUAUCCACCGAGCAAGAUUAGAACCACUAAAAUAUGCUAGUAUACACUUGUUAAUAAGUCACUUUUAAGAUAUUAUGAAAUAUCCAAAUAAGUCUUAAUAGAAAACAAGUUAUAUGUCUUCAACUCUAGCAUCGUUUGCAAGAAAGGAAGAAGGGAGAGGGGCUUCACGACUUCAAAUUUUUGGCAGCCCAUAAAAGAGCUCUUGCCCACGGUUAUAGUCACCAAAAGAAAAAGAAUAGAAGUGCCAAGAACUAACUCAUUCACUUGCUUUUAGUCUUCAUUUUAUAUAUCAUCACAUGUAAGGAAAAUGUUAGAACAUAAAGCAAAAGUAAGACACCUUCUUACAAGCAUGAUGAAUGCAUUAAAUAAAUAAAAAAUGAAUCUAAGAGACCAUCCCUCGUAAAAAUUCAAUAAUAUAUGUCAAAAGGGUUAAAAUCUAUAUGAUUUUUACUUUAUGCAACUAGCUAGUUUCAUAUAUUGACUAAGUGGUUACUCAAAGUCUCAAAGUGCCCACUUAUUUGUACAUGAUAUAAAUAAUCAUACAAUAUGAUAUUAAGUUAGUUUUGUUCUCUUUAUUAUUAUUUUUUAGAAACAAUAAUUCUCAAUAUGUUAGAAAAUAUUAUUUUCAUAAAAUAAUGUUUUUCAGUUAAAUACAAGUGUUGAUAUAUUUGUUAAUAAUCAAACUAUACUAAUAAAUAAUCAGUUAGUGAUAACUUGCUAUAAGGUGUGAUCAUAUAUGAUCAAUAUGUUAUUUACAAUAUCAUUAUAUAAUGACUCUUAGACAUACAAGAUAUUUCAACUUCAUCUCCAAACCACACCAUUUUUUGAUGGAAAUACCUUUUAUACCACUUUAAUAGGUAAUUUAUUUUAUUAUUAUUACUAUUAUUAUUUAAGUAGACAGAUGUCAAAUAGUUAAAGGACCAUUUUUUUGCGUUGAGAUGGGUCAAGCAAGCAACGAGAAGCAACAUUGUGUCGAAGAGGGAGGUGUUUUAAUUGGCUUCAUGUCGUUGAGGGGGGUCAUGUCAGCCUCCCAACGACGUUAUUAUGCCCAUACCGAGCUCUCUACGUGUAACACCCCAACUUUAUAGAACUUUUACAAACUUAUUUGUAUUACAAAACACAACGUGUAGCCAUGUAUACAAAACUUAUCUUUUUCAAAAGUCCAUAAGUGUUUAUAACGUUUACAAUAAUUUAGCGUUUUACAAACUGAAUACAAAACCAUAGUUGAGUAGAGUAACUUACAUGGGGCCUCAGACGUUUAUUCUUUAAAUUUUAUUUAUUUUUCACUUGAAGCUCCUACACCUGAGAUAUAUGGUAUAAAAAAAUACGUAAGACAAAAAUGUCUAGUGAGAUACUUGGGUUUUAGACACAAUAAAAUUCAUAUUCUCGUUUGCAAAAAUUGUCUUUUAUAAUUUAUAUACAUGCAAUAUUAUACAUGAAAUGCACAACCGAAAACGUAUACUGACGGCUUGCUCCAUUUAUCAUUUUUGUCACCCUAGUGUGACAUACCACUCUAGCGUGGUAUUUACCCAAAAUAGAAAGAACAAAUCAACAUAUAAUAGCAAAAAAAUCUAGUUCGCGAAGGGAAGUACCACCCCAUUAGAAUCUUAAUCCCCUUUCUAGGAUUUCUGUCCGGACAUGUUCUUAAAUCUCAUGUAGACACAUUCAAUGUAUGCAUGGGCAUCACUUUUCUUUUGACUCCUCAAGCACACAAUUGUCAUGAUACACUUAUAUAUUAACUUUUAUAUGAAAGUUAUAUUUGACUUACCAUAUCUCAUUUAUAUAACAAAUACUAAAACAACCUUGGAAUUUUAUUAUUAUUUAAAUACAGUUGUCAUAUAUCCCAGUCAGGGAAAAGUUCACCAAGUACUCACCUGGGAGACUAGGUAGUAUCUAGUCUCUAAUCCAAUAGUUUUACAAAUCCAGUUCUUGAUUCAUACCUAUUAAAUACCAUCGUUGAAAUUUUCUAUAAGCAUUCUACAACAUUCUUUAGGUUUUUCGUUACCUAAAGUAUCCAUUUUUCAACCCUUUACUUAUCACAUAGUAUAAGUUUUUCACAUCUUACUUUCAAAUAUGGUAUUAUACUUUAGCUAAGUGCCUCUCAUAUAGUUUAGUGUCUAACUUAUUACUAAACUAUUUACAUCGUAAAGGUUUUCAAGAUUCACAUAUCAUUUACGUCUCAUUUUUCAUAGAUAAUAAGUUACUUUAUUUUUAUUGAAAUAGUGAUCGACAUCUAAUUUUCAUAAUCAUGUAACGACUAUUUUAUUGUAGUCAUUCUAACAUUAUUCCAAACUUGUUUCGAUGGCCAGACACACAUCAUUAAACUUUAAACCCAUUUUUGACAUUUUUUUCCUAUAUUUAUACUUUUUACUAUUUGGCUGCAUUUGUUUAUUUUCACAUCUUUUUCCAUUAGUUCCACAACUAUACUAUGACUAUUAUGUUCUAGUCAUUAUAAUGUUAUUCCGGAUUCAUUCCGGUAGCGAAACAUGUUUCAUAAGUGCAAAAUACCCAUCUUGGACAUUUUGCCCUUUUGUCUCAUUUUCUUUUUUUCCAAGUUCAUAUUUUCUUCCAAAAACGUGUUAACUCUAUGUUAUAAAGUCCCAAACACGUACCAGCCAUAUUUUAAACAUGUAACAAAGUUUAUAAGACUUUUUAAACUAAAUUCCAUUUUGGCACUAUUUGACAUUUUUCUCAUUUAGGCAUCAUAUUUUGCCUUUUUUUUUUUUUUGAAUUUUAUGUUGUCGUUUCUGUAACUUUCAGGUCUUAACAUGUUUAUAAGGCAAUACAAAUACUUAGAUGUUAAAACAUCUCUCAUUUUGGUCAUUUUUGCAGAAUUUGGCGAAUUGAGCCAACAAAUUCUCUAAAGAUAAAAAUUAUUUUACAUUCUAUUUUUUUCAACAUAUGUUGCUGCCAACUCCACCCAACUUUACAUAACUGUUGUUACAAUUUUUAUUCCACACUUGUAUAUCUGCUCGUAUAUGCUAAAACCAUAGCAUUUUAGUUUAGCCGUUUAACUACAAUUUUAUAAAACUUUAGCCUUUUGAGUAACCUUUAACAUUGUUAGGUUAUAACUCAUUAUAAGUGGAUUUUAUUCAAUUUAUCUUAAAAUCCCAAAGUUUACAAAAAGUCAAAUCCCUUUUGAGUAACCUUUAACAUUGUUAGGUUAUAACUCAUUAUAUGUGGAUUUUAUUCAAUUUAUCUUAAAAUCCCAAAGUUUACAAAAAGUCAAAUCCCAACUUUUAAAAAAAGUCAACUUUGACAUCAUUUUGGUGUAGGUUUUUAGUCAACUUUAAACCCAAGUAACUCUCACGUAUGAUCUCCACUUAGUUUAUUCUCUUUUUUUCAUCUUCCUCUCUGUCCCGACUACAUGUUAGGCUCCAGAAUCAACUGAUUUGGAUAUGUAUAGCUCAAGUUAUUCAGCCCUAAAAAUGGGUACUUGGAAACUUUAAUUUUUCAAGACUUCGAAAACUUCUGGAUUACAACUUGUGCAAAAUGUUUUUACUAACUUUGAACAAACAUAUCUCAUUCAUAUUAAAUUGGAUUUGCAUAAUUCUUAUACACUCAUUUGCUUUAUUUAUGCUAGAGUUUUAUAGCCUCAAACAUGGGUUGUUAUUCAUUUUCUGAAAAUUCUAUGCUCCACUCAUCAUCUUCAACCUCUUAAAAAAUGAAACUAGUUCAUGUUUUGGUUUGUAUUACUUGUAAGCUCCAAUCCAUUAGUAAUCCUAAAUCCUAAUAUAUAUCUCAAAGAAAUUUCAUCUCUCUCAUAUAUCAAAAUACUUGGUUUAGAAAAUACCUUUAAUCUUGUAAAAAUCAUAAGAAAUCGGAGGUGCUAAAGUUUGGAAGAUCAAGAUUUCAAGCCGCCUUCUGUCACCACCAAAGGGUGCUGCCUUCUUCCUCCCUUGUUCCUAGCUAAUCAAACUCUGUCUCUUCCUUAAAACACACGCACACAAUAGAGGUGUGUGUUUCUUUUUUUUUCCUUCCUGAUCGUAAUACACACAAAUAUAUAACAGAUAUGCUUCAUUUUUUGACAGCAAUAAACACAUACACGUACCUAGAAGACCCAAUAAUUCGGUUUAAUCAUUAAUUUUAUUUUAAAAAAAAAAAAAAAAAAAACUUUAGUAUAUAUAUUUAAUAAAUUCGAAAAUUAUUAAAAAUAUAUAUAUAUAUUAAAAACUAUUAUAUAUUUUGUUUGGGUCGCAAAUCAAUACUCGAGUGUCCAAACACCGGCCAACGGCGGUCGUACAAUAUAAAAAUUCUGACACAAAUUAGCAUGUCCUCCCUAUUCCAAUGCCUACUCCCUCGGUAUCAUCUUCCUCCUCUUUGCUCCUAGUCGCCGCCGGAACUCUAGCUUUCGGUUCUCUCGUCUUCGUCUGCCGGAGAUUCCUCCCUCCAACCUCCAAUACAUCCGAGAAUCCCAACCGCGUCCACCGCGAAUACCGUACAAAUCUCCCCCAACGGAGAUUCAGUCUUCGAAGGCUAGAUCUGAGUUUCCGAGUAGGUCGAAAUCGUCGGAUCGUGCUUCUCGUUCAGGCAGCAACGUUCUUUGUUCAUAACGAUGGAAGUAGGACGCAAUUGUGGUUUUCGAUCAGAAUAGGAGGGAGCUCGGUGGAGAAAGAAGUCAACGCUUUGAUGAUUUUGCUUCUGUUGCGGUGGUUAAUGGCGCCAGUUCUUAUAGAGAUGAUGGAGGAGAUAAACUACGCUUCGAGUAUGUACCUUUGCAGUCUCCGGUUGCCGUUGAUUGCCUGGGCGAUCGCUUGAAGGUUAGGGCUCGUAACUGGAACUAAAAUUCAGAGCAUAUUCCACCUCAAAUUUGUGCAUUACAUCCAAAUCGAUCAAUGGAAAUGUAGUUUAUGCAAUUGGUAUAGAGAAAGAGGAUAAUCUUUUAGUUCGUAAGUGGAACUAAAGUUUCAAGACCACAGGAUGAUCCGCCUUCAAUUUGUGGAUUACAUUGAAAUCGAUCAAUGAAAAUGUGGAUUUUAAACUAAAAAUUAUGCAAUUGGCGUAUAGAAAGGAUCAUCUUUAUUUCAUAUAUUUAAAUAUUUUGCUCUCUUGCAUUUCGAGAACAAUAGGAAGCCCUAAUACGGAUUUUACCAAAUGGCAAGUGACAUUAUCGAGGGAAAUGGAAAAUGGAAAAUGGGUUAUGUUUGUUCUCUUGAGUAGAAAACUUUUUUAUUUGGUUCAUACGUGUGAGCUUUUACAUAAAUGUGAUAUAUAUAAAGAACAUUAUAUUUGAUGUUUUUCAUUUAUACAAAAUUUAGCUUUUUUUUUUUACAAUUUCACAAGACGAUUGCAUUGCUUGCCGUUAAAAACCUGAAUCAAUUGCUACUAGAUUCAAUAAAAGGAUAUCAACUUUUCUUUUAUCUAAAACCCCAAAAAGGUUAAAUCCCAAUAGCAAUAUGAGAGGUAAAUCAUGUAGACAACGACCCAUUAAUAUUUUAAAUGAGAUAGAGAACUAAUCGGUUAGCAAAGAGCUUGUCCAGAGGAGGGAAACUACAAUUGCAGGAAAUUUCCCAAUGGGUCUUUUGUUUGUGUGUGUGUGUUUCUUUUAAAUCGCAUAUAUCAAACACUAUCUGACACAAAGAUGUAAAGUGGAAAUAAAAAUUGGGAAAAUUUACUAUGAAACUAUACUUUUAUUGAAACUCGAAAAACCUUCAAUAAAAGGGGUACAAGAAGAAAUCGUUGCUCUGGAUAGGAGAAAAUUUUUCUUUGGAAUGAAUGAUAAUAAACGAUCCAAAGAGUUUGUUGCACAUAAGGAUUAAAAAAACCUACAAUAUACUUUGAUACUUAAAUAAGAUUUAGGAGUAUUAGGCUCAAGGAAGUGGUGUCAUAGAAACCAUAUUGUGACAUCCCCAUUUUCACGGCCAGAAAAGAUCGAUGUUGUUUAUGCUUUAUAAAAAUCAGAGUACUUCAUUUUAUAAAAAUGUUGCGGAAUUUGUUCCCAGAAAAACAUGGUAAAUACGUUAUUAAAACAUUUUCGAAGAAACGUAUUUAUUUCAUUUUAAAACGUUUGGGAUGUCAUCGUUAAUACAGAAACAUAAGCAUAAACAGAACUUACAAUUAUUUACACUAGUGAUCUACAUCUCUUUAAAUCUCUCAGUGUAAUGUCACUUCAUAUCAAUACCUGUGAUAUAAAUAAACUGAGUGGGUCAGGUUGGGAAACCUGGUGAGUACAUAGGGUUUUCAACCCACAAUAAUAUAAUUAUUAUGUUUAAACAAUCAAACAAUCAACCCAAUUACCCAUCCCCAUUAUCUUCUUUAUUCUUAAGGAUCUACCCUAAGAAUCAGCUAUUUCUCAUUCAUUCAUUCCUAAGGAUCAUCCUAAGGAAACAACAUGAAGUCCAUUGUUGCCAAUGACACAUUGGUCAAGCGCAGCUGCUAAUAUUG
rnacentral:lncRNA from 1 species